CUAGUACUAGACAAUGUAACCUUUCUUUAAUUCUGUACUUUGUGUGUGUUGUCUGCCAAAGUUUUCAGAACUAUGGCUGGAAAUGCGCAAGGCAAAUUGGCUUCAUUUAUCACUCAUAUUGGAAUUGACAUCAGUACUUGGAUGAUGAAAUUUUUCAGCUUGGAUGCAAAACAGAAGGUUUUGAAUAUUUGAAGGAAAGGUGUUUGCUGAAUUGCCGCAGUGUGAGGACUAAAGAAAAGUCAUCGAAUUCCAUAGAGAUGAAGAUAAAAUGUGAUGAAAAGAGGUCCUUCAAUGGAGAAGCUGAGGCCAUUUCAGAAUCUGUAUUGUUUUCAUUUAAUUGUUAUUGUGGAGUAGUUGGUUGUAAUGUAAUUUGCAAUUUGUAGCUUGUUGUAAUACUCUUUCUUGGCAUGGAUUUUAUGUUCUAGCCCCGUGUUUACCACUGUAUGCCAAAACAUGAUAUUUGUGUGAUUGGUAAGUAAAUGUAAUGGUUGGAGACUCCAGAUUAGAUUUU